CUUGAACGCUGGCGGCAGGCCUAACACAUGCAAGUCGAGCGAGCGGCGGAAGGGUGAGUAAUGUAUGGGGACUGCCCGAUAGAGGGGGAUAACUACUGGAAACGGUGGCUAAUACCGCAUACUAUCGUAUACACCCUAUGGGAUUGGCUAGUAGGUGGGGUAAAGGCUCACCUAGGCGACGAUCUCUAGCUGGUCUGAGAGGAUGAUCAGCCACACUGGGACUGAGACACGGCCCCGACUCCUACGGAGGCAGCAGUGGGGAAUAUUGGACAAUGUGCGCAAGCCUGAUGAAGCCAUGCCGCGUGUAUGAAGAAGGCCUUAGGGUGGUAAAGUACUUUCAGCGGGGAGGCGUUACCCGCAGAAGAAGCACCGGCUAACUCCGUGCCAGCAGCAGCGGUAAUAC
rnacentral:rRNA from 1 species